CCUACCUGCUCCAGGAUGUCUCCGAAAGCCAUACUUUAGCAGAGAUCCGGCCGCCGAAUUGUCAAAGCACCAGUGAGUUGGUGGUUCUACGGCGUUCAGUGCAGCAAAAUCUGUCAGAAAAAGAUGAAAGCUGUCAGAGAGCAGAGAUGACACCAUGACGGAGUCCAGCACCAGCUCACCUCUGCAGGUCCGCUCUGAGAGCAGCUGGAACAUGUCUGCAGCGGCUUGACUUAUCAGUUUCUCUCACAUCAACGGGAAAGCUGUGAAGUUCACGAAUGCUGCUCGCUGAGCUUCAAGGUGUGAACGUCCAGAAGAAUGAGCGGAGACACACGGCGUUUUGGGAGUGUGACUGAGCGCUGCCUUUUCUGGCACAGAUUUCGUCUUAGCAUUUCCUGAUUUGAAGAUAAA